AGGUCCAGAUCCUGGGGGUGGAGGCACAGAUGUUUGAGGUCCUGCUGGAGUUCAUAUACACAGCUUUGCCCUGUCAUGAAAUGUACCAUUUACUGUGUGUGUAGUGUACAGUAGUGCUCAUACACAAAACAGUAUAUAAUACAGAUGUCUUUGUGUUUCUUUGAACUGAAUCCGUCCAGGCACGAUUCAUGUGACGGUGGAGAACAUGCAGGAGCUGAUGGUGGCAGCAGACAUGCUGAAGCUGAGUGAGGUGGUGUCUAUCUGUGGGAGAGUUCCUCAAGAGCCACAUGGACCUGUCCAACUGUGCGGGGUUACACCAGUUCCUGGAGCAGAUCGCCUGCAUGGACAUGCUGGAGUUCACUGAGAACUAUGUCCAUGUACACUUUCUGGAGUUGCUACACAGUAUUUUUCUUCCUCCAUCUGUCUGUCUUCAGAUGAUCUCUUUCCCCUUCCAUCUCAUUCCAAUCUGCUGAGUGUGUGUAACAAAAAAAGUGAAUAGCCUGUUCCCAACCUGUUAUAACACUUGCUCCAACGGACAAAAAUCCCAAUUGGAACAUCUGACCUUUAGGUGUGUGUGUGUGUUGGAUGAGUUCUUGGGCCUGUCUGGGGCCUGUCCAAGGACCAGCUGGUGAAGCUGCUGCGGAGCGAGGAGUUGCGGAUCGAAGAUAAGUACCAGGUAUUCAUGGCAGCCAUGGACUGGGUCUUACAGGACGUGGCCAAGAGGAAGAAACGUGGUGGAGGUGCUGUACCCAGUUCCCCCUGCUCUUCCCACAGAGACUCUUCAAGUACAUAGGUGGUUGGGUUGGAUCAGAGAUUGGGAAGACGAUGGAGCCACAUCAAAGACGAGUUCUCGAGUUCAUUGUCAACAGAGCCUUCACCAGCAAUGUGUUUUAACUUUUGAACAGCAGUGGCAGAAUGCUGCAGGAGAAUCGAAUUCUGUUAUUUCCCAUAUUGUACUCAUAUAGCCAAUAGAGGGUGCGACUCUUUUUUCAUCACCUCACAGAGUAUGAACACAGAGCCUUUUUCUAGCUAGAACAGUUUGGUCUUUGCAAAAUACAAGGCAAAUUACUUUCUGUGGUCUUGCAGGGGAAUUGAUGGAUUUCAUAAUGUUUGGAUUGUUCUGUUAUUUUGGAUAGUUUAUUGCUUUUAUGUAACUGAACUAGAAGUUCAUUGUACACAGACAAACAGAUGACUGGGAGACUGCCAACCGGGAGACUGUUGAUUCAAAUGAGCUAGCAAGACUGCAGUACCUACUCCGUCAGUUACAUGGCAGACCUGUCUGUCUCCAUCACUCAGUAAUAUACUUCCUGCUCCGUUUCAGAGGUGUGCCAGUGUUUCUGGAGGGUAAAUAGCUUUCAUUGUUUACUGUAUUUUCUCUGCUAAUUUGUGUGGACUUAAACAUUGGUACUUUCAGGAACAUUACGUUUUUACAUAAGUGUAAAGGAUGUUUGUCCGUUAUUGAGAAUGGGAUAGCUGUCUGUCACUGAUAUCCUAUCAAUUGUUUCAACCUGUGCACUUUGAGUGUCACAUUUAAAAUGAACACCAAAACUAUUAACUUACAUGGGAGUUGUCCAUUAUCCAUGUCGACUGAAGGUAGACUGACAGCUAGUGCGAUGGGCUUCAUGUGUCUACACGGAGUUGUAUUAAAACCUUGUACUGCACUUGAUGACAGAAGCAGAAGCUA